GGCCUAUAAGUCUCACUCAAUUUUAUUGAAAAGUUUAAGACUUUAAAAGUUACAAAGUAGUAUUCGCCCUGCCUAUAUUAACCAUUAACAAGCAUUGUACUGUUAGUGCAGCUAAAGUAAUUAUAUCAGAAAAACAUAUCAAUUGUCAUUUUGUCCACCGGACAGUAUUGUAAGGAAAUGAUGCUGCAAGAAAAGCAGACAAAUAUGGACUUCCCAACAUAGGGACGUGAAGCAGGUGUAUUAAAAAUAAGGAUGCAUAUAAAACUAAGACACAAAAUGAAUCCCUGAGCUGAGUUUGCAUCCGAAAACAUCACGUUCACACUUCAUUUGGGUGAAAAUGAACAAGGACACUUCUCAUGGGCAACCACGGGGCUUUGGCUUCACACAGAUGUGAUCAAUAACGACAGUAGCGGGCUCCAAGAGUACAUUAAUCUCAGAAAAAAUAGUGGUAUAGUCUCCACAGGGAUUUGCUUCUCAGAUAAGUAGAACUAUGGCCUGCCAUGAAAUUGAGAGCUCAUGAAUAUAGAUGGUUGAGUGUAUCAGUCUUCAAAGCAUUUAAAACAUACUUUUGUUUUUGUUUUAUCAGUGCAAUUUGUUUUUGAAGACGCCGGAAAACUAUUUCAUUUAACCUGAGCAAUUAAAACGUGUCAAAUCACAGCUGUCACAGUUAGGUUUGAUAAAAUUAAUUGUUAGCAUCCUUAUUACUGGCACAGCUGUGAUAUUUCUGGAUUUGACUAUGCACCUGCUGCAGGAAAACAUGAUAAAAUGUCAUUUAGAUCUCUAACUACAAGACCGUUAGACUAGAGAGCUCUUUAAGGCAAGGACAUGAAAACUGCGUACUUUUAUACCUCGCUUAAGUCAGUGACAGAUUUACCAAUGACAACACAAUUUUAAAAUUCCAACACAUAUAUUACUUUGUCCUAUGAAGGGCAAAAAGUCAAUAUAUUUUAAAUUUUAAAAACAGAAUGGAUAUAAUGACCUUUUUACACAUCAGUGAUAUUUAAAAGACUUAAAGAGACAAUACUAUGGUUGAGACACUGGCUUCCUAUUCCAGCCCUAAUUAAAGAAAAAAUAGCUAGUAUGUUUCUAAUUGAAACUAGAGUGAACUGGGCAUCUUCAAAGUUAUCAUUUUCUUGGAUAUAAAAAAACAAAAGACCUGGGAAAGAAAAACAAGUGUUUUACAGAAAUGAAGCAAACACAUUUUCACAUGACAUAAUCAUUGACUUGGUGGUACACAGCUCAAGUCCAGCUUUCACUGAUAUUUCCUCAUUAGAUUAAUAAUUUUAUUAUAAAGCCUCCAAGGGGCAUCCAGGCCCCAAAUGAAGUCAAGAUGCUCCCAUUCCGGAAUGCUCUCAUGGAACACCAAGUUGGUGAUCUGAGUCAGUAAGAUAUUGACGUCGUAGACAUCUGCAAGCCAGUCGUGACCCCCGCUCCAGACUGCAGUCGGCACAAGCAUGUCCUUCACAUUGUAUGUGGGAGGAUAACUCUGGUUGUAAUGAAAAUAAUUCUUGGCACUGCUUCCCCAGUCAAAGGCUUGAAACUUUUGGAAUUUAACAGCCUGGCUCCAGUGUAACAUGUUUUGCACAGAAGUUCCAGCAGGAGAAUGUGUUGUAUAUACAUCCACUCUAGACAUAUUUAAAUUUCUCUCAUUAAAUCCACACAGAAGAAAACAGAGAUUUCCACAGAGCUCCUUCAGUAUGACAUGAGUGCAAACGUGGGUACCCAGCCACUUCAAAAACGCACUCUGGGGAAGAAAUUCUUUGUCUCCAAAUAAGUCCUUAAUGAGAUGAUCUGGUAAUCGUCCUAAUUUGGCCAUAGGGCUAGUACAGAAGGCGACGGAAGCCACAGGACCCAGGGCAAAAAACAUUUUAAUCCUUUUAGCCAGCUCAGGGAUCUGUGAAAAUGCUAUAAAACCUAUAGUGGUGCCUUGAGAAUGACCCACAUAAUACACUUGUUCUUGGCCAGUUUUAUUCAGAAUGAAGUUAAUGGAAGCUGGUAGGUCAUAUUUUGCCAUCUCAUCAUAACUGAAAGCCCAGAAUUCAUCCUGAGAAACUGAGAGUGUCUUAUGUUUCCGAGACCAGGUAUUUCCUCUGCUGUUGCCCAUCCACACGUCAAAACCAGCAUCAGCAAGAAUGAAGCCCAGGCUGCUGUUGGCAAGGUUUGUGACCCAGUUACUAGAAUCUGCCAGCAAGCCAUGUUGCAGGAAGACAACUGGUUUGGGACCUUUGUCAGAAUGGUUCUUCCUCCCAUGAGGAAUUCGGUUAAGGCACAGAAUAUAUCCAUCUUCUGUCUCAACUAGGUAUUCCUCACUAGGGAAUCCCCAGUAAGAGAUAAUUUCACUCACAUUCAUGUUUGUUUCAGGAUCCACAGCUGUCAGUUUCCCUCCAGACCCCUCAGAAUGCAGGGUCCAGAGAACCAAACAGACCACCAACCCCAAGAACCGCAUUUUCAUUCUGGCAGCGCCGCGGCGCCGGCACUCUCACCUGGAGCUGUCCUGCCGGGCCGCUGUCUCGAGUCGCAGUGCCAGCUC
rnacentral:lncRNA from 1 species